rnacentral:tRNA from 1 species
CGGGAUAGCUCAGCUGGAGAGCAGAGG